CAAAGAGUACACCAUCACAUGGAAAUUAACUAUAUUAACGAACGAUUAAAUAGCCACCAAGCAAACCUCGCAACAUAUACACACUUGUGCUUGAAAGGCCCAAUCAUGUAUAGAAUAGGGUCAACCAUUCCUACUGGUUUCAGUGGAAAUCAAGAUCCAUGUAAUUGCAGAUCUUAUAAAUCAAUAGAAAGCUUCUUCCACCAUUAGAUACUUCUUGGCUUUGGCUGCUUUGAGUUCUCUAAUUUUGAGGGUAUGCACUGCAGGAAAUGAUGGGCAUUUGUAAUUGUUGCAGUGAAGCGGCAAGAAAUUCUAGGUGCACAUCACCUGGUUACUGUGAAGAGAGAAGUUAUUAGGAGAUUAGGGUAAAGAGAGGCAUGGCAUUGGGGAAAACCAGAAGAGUAAGAAUAAAACAUUCGCUAGUCAGCAAGUUGCGAGUAGCAAAAAUUCAACUUGAUGUAUCAUAUUGGUUUGGUUCUUGGCAGUUACUCCCACCGUUCUGGUGUUAAUGUCACAGGAUGAAAAGACCUUCCCAAUUGGUUCAAAAUCAGGGCUAGACAAGUUAAUUGUGAGGUUUCUCAUCAAUAACAAAACAGUUUCAAAAUUUAUAGGGUCCAUUUCUUCGAGCUUUUUCACAUGACCUGUGGUGUCUGGAUCAAAGACACUCCCAAUGAAACUAUAUACUUCAGCAAAAUCUGGUAAACCAUGAAGCACAGGAGCCUGUUUCCCUUGUUUUGGUAUCUCAGAACUUGGCCGUGUUCUACUUAAGGUCCCCAGGCCACUAACAUUAUUGUUACUUAUCCAUGCUAUCCCCUUUGAUCCAAUAUCAGCUUCAGCUCC
rnacentral:misc_RNA from 1 species